AGUUGCCGUGAUACAACGCAUUUUCAGAUCUGUUCACUCCCGAGCUUCUUCUUCAACGCCGCUUUCUCUCACUCCGAUUUCUCCUUUGGACUGCCGCUGAUGAAGAUAUUAGAAAGGAAUUUCUUAGUUCAUGGAAAACCAUGUCAAUGGCAGAUGAUGAUGCAAUGGAUUUUGGCUUUGACUCUAUUCCUAAAGGGAAGAAAAAGACAUUAGACUUUGAGAAACUGUGAGUCUUCUUGAAUUUUAGAGUUUGAUUUUGGCAAAGUGAAAUAUGAAGUCAAAGGAUGCUGUUAUUGGUUUCAUUCUAAAACAUUCUUCAUUUUAAAUGUUCUAAUUGACUGAUAAGAUGUUUGUAUUUAACAUUUAUACUAGAGAAGGGUUAUAUGAUACAUUAAAUUUCUUAUCACUAAAGGCAGGAUAUACAUAUAUGCAAAUGUGAAUUAGUAGCACCUAUUUAUUUCUAUGAAACACUCUCUUGCUGUAGGGACAUGAAUUUUAAUUUGGACUGUGAGUUAAAAAAUAUAUCAUCAUUUAAGAUGGACAAGUCUGACCUUGAUUUUGCAUGCCCACCCAAAAAGUCUUCUCAGUCUAAGGGCAAAAAAGGAGAAUCUUCUGGUGGUGGAAAAGCAGGAAAAGAAAAUGUAUUUAAUUUCAGCUUUGAUUUUAAUGAGUAAGUGACAAAGUACUCAAGACAAUAAUCAUCUAAUGUGGAACAAUGUUAUUGUUGGCUUCAGCUAUGGUAGUGUGAGUGUUUUGAAGGUUCAAAUGUAUUAUCAUAUUUACACGUCUUCUAUUGGCAUAGGUUGGAUAACUUCAAUCUUGAUCCAAGCUUAAUAAAAAGAGAUACUUCUUCCAACAAGAACCUCAGGAAAAAAGUAGUUACAGCAGAAGAAAGUAACAAUGCAGGUGCUAAAAUGCCUAAAGCUAGCAAUGUUGAAAAUGCUCAUGCAUCUACUGAUAGCAUGGCUAUAAAACCAAUGAUGAGGUAAUAUAUAUGGAUUCUGAUGGAGUUGACUUGCAUUUAGAGCAUUCAUCUCUGAUGCACACCACUGGGUCAGAUAAUACUGUUGGAGAAAAUUUAGGUAGAAGUACCCAAGCUGUAACAAAUGACCCUCAACCUGAAAAGAGUGAUAAAAGCCUUGAAGAUACUGCUAAAAGGUGAAUGAUUAUUUUAUUAUUAUUUUCUUUUGUUUUUUUAUAUUUUUUAUUUAUUUUGUCAUUGCUAAAAAGUACACCCACGAGAACCAUAUAAAAUUUUAUUUAUUUAUUUAUUAUUUUAUUGCUGGUAUAAUGAUGAGGUUUGUUUUGUAAAAUGACUCUGUUGUUAGGACCCCAGUCUCAGGGAAGACCACAUUGCUAUUAGCCUUGAUUGACAUUUUGCUAGAAAACUUGGCAAAGAUUUAAAAAUUUUAUAUGAAAAGGCAGCCACUAAUAAUAAUAGCAGAGGCAGAGGUAGAGGCAGAGCUUGUGACACAGACCUCUGUAUACCACUGGUCAAUUGAAGAUACUUUCAUGACUGCAUCAAAGGUAAAGAAGGAAAAUCACAGAACAGCUUUGGUACGACAUGCAUAAUCUUUUUUUUUCUUCGCUUUUUCUUUUUGCUCUCUUCUGACCAGGGGAAAUUGCAGUGCUAGAAGAGUCUAAAGAAAGAAUCACAAAAAUGGUAUUUUGGGAUUGUAUUCAUAUUUUCAUUUUGAGACUUUUAUGUAAUUAGAUAAUAUUGAAAUAUUGAAGUUGUUUUAUUUUACUUUUUAAAGAAAAACAAUAAUAGUUAUGUAGAACAAUACCAUAUGUAAUUAU